GACAUAGGUCGCAAACGUUAUCCGGAAUUAUUGGGCGUAAAGCGCUCGCAGGUGGUUCGAUGCGUCGUGCGUGAAAGACCCCGGCUCAACUGGGGAGGGUCGUGCGAUACGGUCGGACUGGAGGCCAGUAGGGGGAUGCGGAAUUCCGGGUGUAGUGGUGGAAUGCGUAGAGAUCCGGAGGAACACCAGCGGCGAAGGCGGCAUCCUGGACUGGUCCUGACACUCAUGAGCGAAAGCGUGGGGAGCGAUCCGG
rnacentral:rRNA from 1 species